GACCUGAUGCAGCCAUGCCGCGUGUGUGAAGAAGGCCUUCGGGUUGUAAAGCACUUUCAGUUGUGAGGAAAAGUUAGUAGUUAAUACCUGCUAGCCGUGACGUUAACAACAGAAGAAGCACCGGCUAACUCCGUGCCAGCAGCCGCGGUAAUACGGAGGGUGCGAGCGUUAAUCGGAAUUACUGGGCGUAAAGCGCACGCAGGCGGUUUGUUAAGCUAGAUGUGAAAGCCCCGGGCUCAACCUGGGAUGGUCAUUUAGAACUGGCAGACUAGAGUCUUGGAGAGGGGAGUGGAAUUCCAGGUGUAGCGGUGAAAUGCGUAGAUAUCUGGAGGAACAUCAGUGGCGAAGGCGACUCCCUGGCCAAAGACUGACGCUCAUGUGCGAAAGUGUGGGUAGCGAACAGGAUUAGAUACCCUGGUAGUCCACACCGUAAACGCUGUCUACUAGCUGUGUGUGUCUUUAAGACGUGCGUAGCGAAGCUAACGCGCUAAGUAGACCGCCUGGGGAGUACGGCCGCAAGGUUAAAACUCAAAUG
rnacentral:rRNA from 1 species